rnacentral:rRNA from 1 species
GACGAACGCUGGCGGCGUGCCUAAUACAUGCAAGUUGAGCGCUGAAGGUUGGUACUUGUACCGACUGGAUGAGCAGCGAACGGGUGAGUAACGCGUGGGGAAUCUGCCUUUGAGCGGGGGACAACAUUUGGAAACGAAUGCUAAUACCGCAUAAAAACUUUAAACACAAGCUUUAAGUUUGAAAGAUGCAAUUGCAUCACUCAAAGAUGAUCCCGCGUUGUAUUAGCUAGUUGGUGAGGUAAAGGCUCACCAAGGCGAUGAUACAUAGCCGACCUGAGAGGGUGAUCGGCCACAUUGGGACUGAGACACGGCCCAAACUCCUACGGGAGGCAGCAGUAGGGAAUCUUCGGCAAUAGACGAAAGUCUGACCGAGCAACGCCGCGUGAGUGAAGAAGGUUUUCGGAUCGUAAAACUCUGUUGGUAGAGAAGAACGUUGGUGAGAGUGGAAAGCUCAUCAAGUGACGGUAACUACCCAGAAAGGGACGGCUAACUACGUG